rnacentral:rRNA from 1 species
UACGUAGGGAGCAAGCGUUGUCCGGAUUCACUGGGUGUAAAGGGUGCGUAGGCGGGACAAUAAGUCAGUGGUGAAAUCUUACGGCUCAACCGUGAAACUGCCAUUGAUACUGUUGUUCUUGAGUUCGGGAGAGGUUGAUGGAAUUCCAGGUGUAGCGGUGAAAUGCGUAGAUAUCUGGAAGAACACCAGUGGCGAAGGCGGUCAACUGGCCCGAAACUGACGCUGAGGCACGAAAGCGUGGGGAGCGAACAGG